ensembl:lncRNA
UUAGUGAUACCCAGCCUACCUCAUGAGUGGUGCGUUAAUAAGCUGAUAAAUUGAGUCAGGUGAGUGCGAUUUUAAAAACAGCAGAACAGGGGAACUAUGGGAAACACUGAUCCAGCACACAUGUUAUGCUCGUGAUAAGUUUAAUCACGUGUGCUGGAAUAGCAAACACUGUAAGAUCUGGAGUAAAGGGGCAGGAUUUGGAGGGAAACACUGGCUAAGGAAACACGUCCGGUGUCCGGCGCGAGCCAACGAGUCCGUGAGAGAGAGAGAGAGAGAGAGAGAGAGAGAGAGGGGAGCGCGAGAGCGGAAAGAGAGCAGAGCUGCCGCCCGCCACACGGAGAAGCGCGCGCGCACACGGACGACAGAAGAUCUAUUUGUUUCGUCCAGCGGACCUUAUAUUCGUGUUUGAGGAAUAUACUUUGAAUUUGCGUGGGGAAUUUUCUGUCUGCUUUAAGACUCUGUGGAGAGAAAACAGGACACGUCAGAAGAGAGAGAGAGAGAGAGAGAGAGAGAGGACGCGGCUGGUGUUCAGAGCGAGCGCGCGCACGAGAUACAGCGGGGAACAGAGAACCUAGAGCAUCAAUGCAUGGAGAGAGCGUGGAUUGAAACCACUACUGAUCCUGAUGGGAAGAGUUCUGUUUAGUCUGAGGUGCUCUCUAGCGCCCCCUGCAGGACUCCAGGUAAAGAUUGGAUCGCACAGGAUGGAGAGAUCCACCAAACUCUGUGUUAAUUUGGUAUCUUUCCCAACUUUCACUGAAGACAUUUGUGGGCUGAACGCCUCCACAAGCUGCAGAGAGCAUGUGAGUUAUCAAGGUUUGGCUCUCUCUCUCUCUCUCUCUCUCUCUCUCUCUCUCUCUCUCUCUCUCUCUCUCUCUCUCUUUCUUUCUCUUUCUCUCUCUUGCUCUCUAUCUCCCUCUAUCUUUCUCUUUCUUUCCAUGCUUUUGUACCUAUCAGUCCAAGCAAUGGCAGAUUGCUGUGUGUGUGUGUGUGUGUGUGUGUGUGUGUGUGUGUGUAUGUGCGCGUGUAUGUAAGUGUGUGGUUUACAUCCAUGUGUUUACCAAAGCAAAACGCUGGGCAGGAUUCGAGCAUGCCUCCUGUUUGCCAUCUGUUCUCACUGAGCUGGCUGUGUCCUUAUGAACACUCCCCCACCACAAACUCCACUUUCACACACCAGAUAGAAAGCAUGACAUCUAACAUAAUUCUGAUGUUCAGACAGGUGACAAACAUAAUCUUAAGGAGAAAAACACAACAACAUAAAGUGUCUUAGUAAGGACAUCACAAGCUGCCAGAACAGCAAAGACCAUCGCGGAUUACUGAUAUCGCUAACAGCACAUGAGUACACCAUUUUCAUUCUCAUCAAACCAUUCAGAGAGUCUUCGUGCCCUGGUGAUUCGGCUGAGUCAUUCUGGAAGAUACCACUCCCAUCAGGACAGGAAUGUUUCAGCACAGGAUAAAGAUGAUCAGAAUAACUUUGUAUCUGCUGAAGUAAUCUCACUGCUGACUGACGCCGUGAAUAAAAUGAUGUAUAUAAGGGGCGUAAAGUUUGUCUUUUUGACUGUGUAUUGUGUAAAAUUUGGACAGGUUUUUCUCCUUUCCAUUUUUCUCUGGGCCUUGUAGUCCUUGUAAAUAGAAAAAAAAGCCAUGGUCUCUGUGGCUCCAUCUCAUUAAUCAAAAACUAUGUUUUUGAUUAAAAUAGAGCUCUUGGUACAUUACUGCAUCUAGUUGUAUCACAUCACAUCAUAUGUUAUGAAAUAACUGCUUUAAGUAAGGAAUAAAAGACAAUGGGAAAAUAAUCCAUCAGCCCAAGGCAAAGUGGAGUUAUAGGACAGCUACCAUCUCUUAUACCACAGCCAAUGAUCACAAUUCUUAAUGUAUAUAUGAAUAAAAUAACAUGCUUUUAAACUGUUUAUAGCUACAUAUAAUGUUGUGGAACUCCAGUCUCCUCCCCCAGUCCAAAGACAUACAUCGUAGGCUGACUGGCAUUUCCAGAUUGUCCGUAGUGUGUGAAUGUGUGUGUGAUUGUGCCUCGCGAUGGGUUGGCACCCCGUCCAGAGUGUCCCCUGCUUGUUCCCUGGGAUAGGCUCAAGGCUCCCACCAACCAGGAUAAGCGGUACAGAAAACUGAUAGAUGGAUAAUGUUGUGGAACAUCCAAAGACAAAUCAGUGCAUUAUCACAGCAAUAAACAUGCUCUCUUUUCUUUCUCUUGAAGUUAAUCAGACAAAAAAAAUAACACACAGCUUGUCAUAUACCCAGAACACAAAGUACAAAGUCCUCUAUAAACUUAGACUGGGAAUCUUGUGUUUCAGAAAGUUGACUUUUGACUCAUGGUGCUUAAGUCAAAAUGUGGGACAAACCUGGUUUUCACCGUGAUACUCUCCGUGAUAAACCCUAUUUAUCCAGUCUUUUUUUUUCGGGGACUUGUAAAGACCUACCUUAGUUGAAGCUUGAGACACUUGCAGUUAUAUGUUCCUCUGGGAUUUUUCUUUUUCUUUUUUCUUCUUAACUUCCUGGAUGAAUAGUUGUUGUGCCCUUGGAGAUAUUUUGGCACACUGGCCUCUCCUGGAAGAUUCAACACUGUUCAAAGUGUUCUCCAUAAUGACUCUCACUGCGGUUUGGUGGAGUUGCAGAACAUUAGCCAUUGCUUCUUUAAAACUUUUUUUUCUUCAGUUAAUUACAACAUAUCUUUUCAUCUUUGCUAGAAUGUGCUUUAAUUGUGGAAUAGUAUGCUUGGCGUGACUUUGUGAUGACUACAUCGCUUUGACAGUGAAGUUAUGUUGCGUGUUGUUUAGAUUAGUCAGGGCUGAAUGCAAACAAACCUGGCUGUGUUCAGUCUGCUAAACCUAAGUAUGAAUUAAAAUUGGUAAAACUGAAAGAAGAAUACAUUGAACUUAUAACGGAGCAGGCAGUGAUACAAGUACUGCAAGAAUAAGUCCCUUAUUGACAUAUAAAGGUGCAUCUCAAAAAAUUAGAAUAUCGUGGAAAAGUUCUUUUUUUCCGUAAUUUAAUUCAAAAAGUGGAACUUUCAUAUAUUCUAGAUUUAUUACACAUAAGGUGAAAUACUUCAAGCCUUUUUUUGUUUGUUUGUUUUAAUCUCGAUGCUUAUAGCUCAUGGAAAUCAAAAUCCAGUAUCUCAAAAUAUUAGAAUAAUGAAUGAUAUGCAAGCUGUACCUUUAUAUUACUAUUUGAAUAAUGAGUCAUUUACACCUGGUAUUUAUAUGCGUUCUCAUUAUCUGCACUCUGUCGGUAUUGUGAUCAGAUCUCAUUUCCCCACCACAAUAUGCCAGAAAAAUGAACUAGCUCGAGUGUAGGAUGUCAGCCAGCUGUCAGCAUAGAAAAUGUUGGAUCAUUAAAGAUUUUUUGUUUCAAGUGUCAUCCAUUUUCUACAUUUUUAUUUUAUUAUUGAUUUUUAAAAAUAAUUUGAUCUUGCUGUAUCUUGUGAGUGGGGCGUUUCUUCCUAGCUCCAGCCUGAUAUCAGCACACUGUAUUGGUUGUUUUACACCUGCUUGAAAUCAUUUCACAGUGUGAACCAGCCAGACUCCAGAGAUAUGCACUUUGUGUGUUUACACCCAUUUCUUCUAGUCAAAUGCUAUCAAAUAAUAGGAUCACUGAAAAUGGGCCUAAGUUUCUAUCAACUGACCAAAAACAAGUGCAAGUUAUGAACCAUAACUAUUCUUACAUUUACAUGAGUUGGAUUAUGUGGAUGAUUAAAAAUUUUCAAUUUUGGGUUCAUAGUCAUAAAAACUAAUCUCAGGCCGUCUGCUCUUUAUUCCAGCUCUGCUCUGUUUUCUCUGGGCUGUGUUACAGUGCAGCUGUAGAUUGUGUCCUUGGCUGUAUCCUCCUUAUGUCAGGCCAUUAUAAAUAUCAAUGGAUCAGUGGUUAUUACUGAUAGAGGACACUGUGGAGCUCAUAGGCAUCAGUGGGAGCAGAGCUGAAAAGCUUUGCUUGUGCAGAUGCACUGAUUCAAUUGAAGAAAUCCAUACAAAUGCAAGUAAAAGUCCGGGUUCAAAAACUGGGUGUUAAGAACAUUGUCCAAUAGUAGUAAAUCAAAGUGACUGGACUUUUGGUUUAAUAAAAGCAUAGGUGUAAAUUCACCUCUGACUGACUACAAGUUUUGGUGUGGCCUUGUCAAGUUCUGACUUGAACCAAUUGAGAUGCUGUGGCAGGACCUUAACCAGGCGGUUCAUGCUUCAAAACCCUCCUGUGUGGCUGAACUCAAGCAGUUCUGCAAAGAAGAGCGGGCUCAAAUUCCACCAGAGUGCUGUGAAAGACUGAUCUCCGGUUAUUGGAAGCGUUUGGUUGCAGUUAUUGCUGCUAACAGUGGCGCAACCAGAUUUUAAUUUACAAGGGGCAAUUCGUUUUUUACAUGGGUGAUUUUUUUUUGUUUGUUUGCUUUAAUAAAUAAAUAAAUAAUAAAAAGGUUGCCUUUGUUUAUGUUUGUAUUUUGUUUGAAGAUCUAAAACUAUUCAGUAUGAGAUAUAUACAAAAACAGAAGAAGUUCUUUUUCACAGCACUGUACAAGCUCAUCUGUGAAACAUGGUGGAGGUAGUGUUAUGACUUGUGCUUGCAUGGCUGCUUCUGUAACAGGCUCACUAAUCUUUAUUGAUGAUGUAACUCAAGAUGGUACUGUAGCAGCAGAAUGAAUUCAGAAGUUUACAAGAACAUUUUGCCUGCCAAUUUACAGAGAAAUGCAUCCAAAUUCAUCACGCAGCAAUGAUCCAGAACACACUGCCAAGUCAACAAAGGACUUUAUCAGUAAGAAAAAGUCAAAUGUUUUAGACUGGCCAAUUGAAUCUUCAGUUGCGCAUGCAUUUCACCUGCUGAAGUGGAGACUGAUGGGAGAAACCCUAUGGAAAAAAAACAACUUAAAGAGACUGUGGUAAAAGCCUGGAAAACCAUCAUAAAAGAUGGGCUUGGGGCUCAGGUUGAAUCUCAGAAAAGUAUGCUUUCCCCAGUGCAGUGGACAACUUUUCUAGGGGUUAUAAGGAUUCUACUACGAUGAGGAUGUUUCUAUCCCCAACAUGCGUAGGGUCAAUCCUAUCAAAACUGAGCAAGAUAAAGCUGGAUCUUGGGAGACUAUUGGCGCUUAUGAGCCUAUUGCACAGGAGACCAUUCAGUGGUGGCUGAGAAGUUGGGGGUUUCUUCCAAGGACGAAACCUCUGAGAGUAAUCAGUGUCACACGUGUCCCCUGGUUUCUGGCCUUGGGUCACAAUCUAGGCGUGUCUCCUUAGUGCAAGACGGUAAUGACAGACACCUCCCUCACGGUCUCUGGAGCGGCCCUCAUCUAGAGCGGUAAAUAAAUUUGCCUAGAAAUGUGAGCAAUAUUUCUAGCACUGAAAUUCCUUCUUCCUCAAUUGAAAGGUCACCAUAUGUUUACAGACAACACAUCGGUGGUCUCAUAUGUGCUAGUAGCACCUUCUUGGCCAGCUCGAAUAUGGUUCUCAGAGAUAAUAUCCCUGCUAGAUGGCACUCCUUGGGAGAUUCCCAUCUGCAGAUAUCCACUGUAGACCCAGUGAACUGCGCAAUAGCUACAGUCCAACUAUGGAAACUGUAGGUCUGGCCCCUGAGGGGCACCAGCUCAUAGAUUCUGGUCUCACAACUGAGGUUGUAGAGACCAUGUUAAACACUAGAGCACCAUCCACAAGGAAAUUGUAUGCGCUCAUGUGGCGGCUUUUUGUCUUGUGGUGUGAGGAACGUCAGCUAGACCCAGUGAACUGCACAAUAGCUACAGUCCUGGAGUUCUUACACGAACGUUUCUCAGUGGGGUGGGCUACUUCAACAAUCAGGGUUUACGUGGCUGCCAUUUUGGCCAGCCACGCCCCUGUUUAUGGACCCUCUGUGGGGCACCAUCCUCUAACUUCGAGGUUCAUGCGUGGUGUGGGUGAGGCCCAUCUGCCUGCCGCGCAUACCUUCCUGGAACAUUCUGUGGUCCUGGAAGGUCUGUCAGGGGCCCCAUUUGAGCCCUUAGAGUCAGCCUCUGAGAAGCUUCUGACUCUAACAGUAGCUCUUCUGCUGGCCCUGACAUCUCUCAAGCGAGUAGGAGAUCUACAAGCUCUCUCGGUUUCCCCUUCCUGCCUUGACUUUGCCCCUGGACUAGCCAAGGCCUUCCUGUAUCCUAUGCCGGAUUAUAUUCCUAAAGUGCCUACAUUGACUACCCACCCUGUGGUGUUGUAGGCUUUCUGCCUGCCUCCAUUCCCCACACCAGAACAAGAGAGAAUGCACCUGCUGUGUCCAGUAAGGGCUCUCUGUACUUACGUCCACUGCUCCGGCCAGUGGUGUAAGUCGGAGCAGCUGCUGGUCUGCUUUGGUUGGUGACAGUAGAGGUGAUGCUGUGUCAAAUCAGCGCAUCUCUAAUUGGAUAGUGGAAGCAAUCUCUAUUGCUUAUGAGGCGCGCGGUCUUGCUAUGCCUCUGGGUAUAAGGGCUCAUUCCACUAGGGCGGUCGCCUCCGCGAAGGCUUUGUCCAAAGAGGUAUCCUUACAGGAUGUGUGUGCUGCUGCAGGGUGAUCCACGCCACACACAUUCAUUCAGUAUUACAGCCUGGAUAUUCAUUCCACCCCGGGCUUGAAUGUCUUGCAGUGACCCUCGGGCUUGGGUCUUUUUGAACAUGCCAUACCCCCGGUAUGACGGAGUGGGGAUUCUCGUUCCCAUAGUGUUAUGCUAAACGCAACAUCGAAGUUCCCUUUGAAAGGGAACGUCUGGGUUACGCAUGUAACCCUGUUCACUGAGAAGGGAAUGAGAUGCUGCGUAGCUUUGUCAUAAUAGGGCAGGCCUGUGAAUUGCGUCUUCACUUCAGAUAAUAGAGGCUGAUGGCGUGGUUCACAGGUGCCAUUUAUAUCACGCGACGCGUGUCACCUGACAAUGGCAGGCCUAUAAAUAGGCAUGAUUUUACACAAGCUUCAGAUGCUGCUCACACACGCGAGGCGCUCCCAUUGUGUUAUGCUAAACGCAAUGUCUCGUUCUCUUCUCAGGGAACAGGGUUACAUGUGUAACCCAGACGACUUAUUUGUACCAGUGCUUUUGCUCACCUAAAAUUUGGGUGGUCUGAUACAUAACAGUCUAUGUUUUAUGUUUUUAACACAUCUAGAUGUCAAGAAAUAGCAGACAAUAAAAGUUGAAAUCCUAAACACCCAUCUCAUGAGAGUCUUUUUAUUCCAAACCCAAAUGUCUUUGGUGUAUAGCACAAACAGAUUAUUUGGCCUUGCUGUUCCAAUAGUUUUGGAGGGGACUAUAAUUAAUGGUUACGUAAUACAUUCAAACAGAAAUCUGUAAUGGUUUGUUGUGGUAAGCUCGGUGCUUAAUCCAGAAAGUUGACAAGGAAAAGGCAAUAGAGUAGUGCUGAAUGCUGUCAUAGACCUAGUGCCUUUAGAGUAGAUAUGAUGAACACUGUAGAAGGGGAUUGCAACUAUAACAUUUCAGUUAUACGGUUUAAGGACUGGAGGAGUCUCCUGAAAAUUUCUGAUGUAUUAAGCUUCACAUUUCUCUCAGAACACUGGGUCUUACAAAAGUACAAUAUGCCCUUUAAAUAACAUACUGUAAAACAAAUAUACCCACGUGAAUACUGAUCUCAACAAACAAAACAUUUUCUAAACUUGCCUAAUCAUCCAAUUUACUCCGCAAUGCAAUCGUGUAAUUUACAGUGUGUUCCUAAUGUCAUGAUUUGCUCUGCUAGUCUGUGACAGUGUCCUUUAAAAAUAAAAAUAAAAUUAAAAAAAUAGCACAUAAGGCACAGGGUUGAAUUUUGUGAACAAUGGACCAACAAGUUUCAGAAAGAGAAAUGAUGCCUCCGUUGCUUUUAUAACAUCUUUUUCUGCCACCAUUACUUUUGCUUACUUCUUUAAGAAAUGACAGCAAAGUCUGUUGCCUUUUUUCACCAUAGUCAUGAUGCAUGAGCACAUGUGACUGAUGUGAGUACACUGUGAUUACUAGCCACCAGCUGGUCUACAUGGAAAUUAUGAUUUUGGAAGGGAGGUGACACAUAAAGGAGGAUUGUGCAUUAUUUUGUUUUUAUUUAAAAUAAAUAAAUAAAAAGCUGCAGCUGUGCCUAAUCCAUGUAAAUGAGAUCCAGAACACAGGCAGAGGUGCUGGGUCCUGUUCUGGCAUGGUCCAGCCCAAAUUAAGUACUGAGUAUAUGUCACAAUUUCAAAAGUCACAACAGAUAACAAUUUAAAAGUAAAAAGGUACAGACAUGUACUUCAAGAUAAAACAAAAUAUAAGACAACAAAACAUGUCCAUAGUUAGCAAAAAAGAACUCUUAAGGACAAGUGAAGAACCGUUGCCUUAUUUGCUCAUAUGUAGUUACUGUAAUAAUGUAAAUAAGUGUAAAUAUAAACAGAAUGCAAUGAUUUUCAUAUCUCAUAAACCCAGUUGUUAUUCACAAUAGAACAUAGAAAACAUAUCAAAUGUUUAAACUGAGUAAAUGUACCAUUUUAAGAAAAAAAUAAGGUAAUUUUGAAUUUGAUGGCCACAACACGUCUCAAAAAAGUUGGGACGGGGCAACAAAAGGCUGGAAUUGUUUUUGGAAACAGUUUUUGCAGAUUGGUGAACCUCUGCCCAUCUUUACUUCUGCCUCUCUAAAAUACUCUUUUUGUACCCAAUCAUGUUACUGACCUGUUGCCAAUUAACCUUCAGUUGUUUCUUUUUAGUAACACGUACUUUUGCGGCCAUCAAAUUCAAAAUUACCUUAUUUUUUUCUUAAAAUAGUACAUUUACUCCGUUUAAACAUUUGAAAUGUUUUCUAUGUUCUAUUGUGAAUAACAUAUGGGUUUAUGAGAUUUGAAAAUCAUUGCAUUCUGUUUUUAUUUACAUUUAUUUACAUUUUCCACAACUUUUUUAGAAUUGGGGUUGUAUUUUCUAUAGAUUACUCAAAUGCUCAUUUUAAUGUUUUUGUAUCAACUAAGUUUGCUGACAGUUCCAAGCUGGAACUGUUUUCCACCACUAGUGAAUCUUGCGUGACAACAAAUGUUGUGAACUUUCUCUAGCAGAUAUGGGAGGCCAUGUUGUCAAAUGGGCACACGCAAGAUGAUUUCUCAUAAUCAAACCUACCUGCAUAUCUCCUCGUGUCACUUUGCCUGGUCACCUGCCUCCAUUUGAAAGUAAAUAGGAGAUGAGUAAGUAGCAUUUCCUGUGUUAAAAGACCUUUACCAUUCAGAGGGAUAAUUUUUUUAAAUUAUAUUUUAAUGUGUUUUAGAAGCAUUUUAACUCUGUAACAUAGGUCAGUUAAAAAGGCCUACUAGUCCCUAAUAUGUUCAUAUGUCAACACCCAAUACACAGUUGUUCAAUUACACAUAUACAAAGGGUUGAGCAUCUGCCACUUCGUUUGAGUACUGAUGUUUACAGUGCCCUUUCUGAAAAAAAAAACUUUUCAAAAGGCUUGCCUGAGGCCCUUAUCAAGAGAUAAUUCAAUGAAUAAUAAUUUAAGUAUAAAUAAACAACAAAUAUAAACAAUAAUGAAAAUAAAAGGCCCUGACUGUCAUCUGUCAGUAUAUCUUAUGGCCUGUCAUUGUGCUGAAGUCACAACCUACAAACCCACGUUUGUGCUCCAAUUGACAAUGUGGAGAUGUAGAGCUUAUUAAAAAUAUUCAGACUGACUCUUGACCUUAUGCAUGUUGUCACGUUGUUUUAAUAGUGUUUGUGAUAUUUCAUUGGGAAAUAGAGCAGCAAUGUAGUAGGCUAUGCAGUUCUGGCUAAAUAGAUCAGUUUUUAUCACUGUAUGAUAAUUUGAAUAUGCACUGCAAAUGUGUUUGGAAAUAAAAUCUAAUAAAAAAAAAUAAAAAAAACCUUUUGCAAAAUGUUGUCUGGCUUUUUGUAGCUAGUAUGUUCAAUAGAUUUUAUAUGGCAGCAUGGAUGUGAUUCUCAGUCAGAUCCAAAAUAUACUAUGAUGUUGUGUGCCAAAAUGUAUGCAGUACACUUUCUCUGUAUAGGUUUUAUAAAAGUAUGCUCAUAUAAUGUGUGUUUACCAGCAUAUUUAUGCCCACUUCCCAGACCUUAUCUAGCUUACCUGACCUAGCCCCUGAUCCUGCUCUACCAUCCCCUCCUUAACUCCCCUUAUCCACUUACAAUUGCAGAAAAUUGUUUAUCUCUGUGGAAUUACUUGAAUUACAUCAUUAAUACACAACAUGUGGUCUGAUCUUCAUCCACAUCUUAAUAAUAGAUAAAGUCAUUCUGCUGAAAUUGAUAACUCAUCUAUAUAAUACAAUGGAUAUAAAAAAGUAUGUUAAAAUGGUAGGUUUUUGUGAUGUAAAAAAUUAAACCAAGAUAAAUCAUGUCAGAACUUCUUACACCCUCAAUGUGAAAUGUAAAAAUGUAAAAAUUAAGUAAAAAACUAUCAGAAACAUUUUAGACAAAAUAUGAAAAAUAAAAAACUUGCAAUAACCAAGUUGCAUACAUAAGUGUGUACACCCCUAAACUAAUACUUUGUUGAAGCACCUUUAGAUUUUAUUACAUCAUUCAGUCUUUUUGGGUAAAAAUCUAUCAGCAUGGCACAUCUUGAUUUGCAAUAUUUUCUCACCCUUUCUUGCAAAAACAUUCUAGAGCCAUCAAAUUGUGAAGACAUUUCCUGUGCACGGCUGCUUCAGGUCACCCCACAGACUUUUAGUUGGAUUCGGGUCUGGGCUCUGGCUAGGCCAUACAGAAAUAUUGAUCGUCUUUUGGUUAAGCCAUUCCAUUGUUGUUUUGGAUGUAUGCUUUAGGUCACUGUCAUUCUGAAAGGUGAAAUUCCUUUUCAUCUUCAGCAUACUAGCAGACACUUGAAGAUUUUCACUAAAAUCAGAUUGUAUUUGUAGCUAUUCAUGAAUCCCUCCACCUUGAUAAAAGCCCAAAUUCUGUGUUACGGAACAGGACUGGAAGCAGAAGAAAGUGCAGAUUAACGUCUUUAUUCUUAAACAGAAAUCAAAACACGUAAAAUGCGGUCUGUACUGGACAAGAUAAUCGAGGUUAAACAUAAGACUAAAGUCGAGGCAUGGAACGAGAGCAGGACACGAAGACACGACUGCUUUGCGUACUUAAAUGUAUUCACCUAAACAUUCAUUCAGUUAUUCAAGUAAUACUGCGCGAAGUACAAAGCAACACGAGGGCUUUAAAUACCAAAUAUAAUCAAGCUAGAACACAGACAGCUGGGAUCAAUAACGACACACCCUCGAACAUCAACCAAUGCUUAAACAGGAAGAGAACAAAAACCAAAACAAAGGUACGUGUCCAUAGGAAACAGUUCAAUUUCCUGCACGCGUGCUCUCUGCCGCCACCCGUGCCCGUCGAUGCCGCAGUGCCAUCUGCUGGCAAGAUCAUGACAUUCUGGCUAAAGAAAAGCAGCCCUAGAGCAUGAUGCUGCCACCACCAUGCUUCACUGUGGGUAUUUUGGUGUUGUACUUUUUUUGCACAAAUCUUUUGAAAUUAUGGAAUUAUUAUACCUUUUGGAAUUGAUCUUAUCAGACCAUAAUACAUUUUGCCACAUGGUUUAGUAGUAAUUUAAUUGAGCUUGGAUUUUUUUGUGAAAAGGACUUCCAUCUAGCCACCCGCCCCCAUAGCCCAGACAUGUGAAGAAUACAAGAGAUUGUUGUCAUAUGCAGAGUAAUCAGUACUUGUCAGAUAUUCCUAAUGUUACUAUAUGUCUCCUGAUAGCCUCCCUGGUAAGUUUUUGUCUAGUCCUUAUAUACAUUUUGGAGGGAAAUCCUGUUCUUGGUGAUGUCACUGUGGUGGACCAUUUUCUCUAUUUGUUGAUGAUGGCCUUACAGUGCUCCUUUACAUCUAAUGUUUUGGACAUUUUUAUACCCCUUUACUGAUCAUUACCUUUCAGUGAGUGAGAUACAAUGCAUGCUUUGCAAGCUCUUUGUGGACCGUGGCUUCAGCAGUCAAAUGAAAUGAGAAAAUGUGAGGAAAAUCCUACAGAAACAGCUGGUCUUUAUUUGGGGUUAAUCAGAAUCAUUUACUUGAUGACAGCUGUAUGAUAAUUACUCUUGUGCAUGAGAUUGAAUUUGAUUUGUUCGUUUUGAAUAAAGCGACAUCCACAAUUAUAAAAGGGUGUACACACUUAUGCAACCAGAUUAACUUUUUAAAAAUGUUCCUAUUUUUUCCUAAAUUGUUUGUUUUUCACUUGUUGUUUUUCACGUUGUAAUUUCACAUUGAGGGUAGAAAUGGUUUUGAUUUAUAUUAGUUUCUUUUCUUUCUUUUUUUCAUCACAGAAACCUGCCAUUUUAACAGGGGUGUGUAGACUUUUCUUAAUAUCCAUUGUAGUUGCCCUUGUCAAUACUGAAUAUACUGUUUUACAAAUAAAAACGAAGUAUGUGCUGGGCUAUAUCUCCGGGCUAACUGGAGUUAGGCAAUAUGCUUUAAAAAGACACACAUAGUCUGAUUAGAAGCAGAGACUACUCUUCUUAAAAAAUAUUUGUUCAUGGUAAUGAUGCUCCUUUCAAUACAAAUUUCAGAGAACAUGGUGGAGGGAUCGUCAUAAUUUGGAGCUGCUUUGCUGCCGCAGGGCCUGGACCGCUUGCAAUCUUUGAGGGAAAACUAGUUCUCUCUCUAACAAUGAAUUCAAAAUUUUAUCAGACUUUUAUAGGAGAACUUCAGGGUAACACUCCAUCACCUGAAGGUUAAUAGAAGUUGCAUGUUGCAACAAGACAUGAAUGAAUGAAUGUCAAUUAUCGCAUAGUUGGCAUUUUUAUGUCACAAUUAAUCACUAAAUUAAUAUGGAAAAUUAUGUUACUUUCAUUAAUAUCAUCAGUUAAGAGUUAAUAAACUUAUUUGUAACUACAUAUAUAUA